CCUACGGGGGGCUGCAGUAAGGAAUAUUGGUCAAUGGAGGAAACUCUGAACCAGCCAUCCCGCGUGAAGGAUGAAGGGGCUCUGCCUUGUAAACUUCUUUUGUCUGGGGCGAAAAAGCUCGAUUUAUCGAGAACUGACGGUACCAGAAGAAUAAGCACCGGCUAACUCCGUGCCAGCAGCCGCGGUAAUACGGAGGGUGCCGGAAUUACCCGGUAUCAAGGGUGCGAAAGCGUGUGAAGGAGGCAGUGGUGAAAGGCUGUGGCUUAACCAUGGAAUUGCCAUUGAUACUGCAGAGCUUGAAUGAGGUUGAGGUUGGCGGAAUGUGACAUGUAGCGGGGAAAUGCUUAGAUAUGUCAUGGAACACCGAUUGCGAAGGCAGCUGACUGGACCUAUAUUGACGCUGAGGCACGAAAGCGUGGGGAGCGAACAGGAUUAGAUACCCUAGUAGUC
rnacentral:rRNA from 1 species